GAUGAACGCUGGCGGCGUGCCUAAUACAUGCAAGUCGAGCGAACAGACGAGGAGCUUGCUCCUCUGACGUUAGCGGCGGACGGGUGAGUAACACGUGGAUAACCUACCUAUAAGACUGGGAUAACUUCGGGAAACCGGAGCUAAUACCGGAUAAUAUAUUGAACCGCAUGGUUCAAUAGUGAAAGACGGUUUUGCUGUCACUUAUAGAUGGAUCCGCGCCGCAUUAGCUAGUUGGUAAGGUAACGGCUUACCAAGGCGACGAUGCGUGGCCGACCUGAGAGGGUGAUCGGCCACACUGGAACUGAGACACGGUCCAGACUCCUACGGGAGGCAGCAGUAGGGAAUCUUCCGCAAUGGGCGAAAGCCUGACGGAGCAACGCCGCGUGAGUGAUGAAGGUCUUCGGAUCGUAAAACUCUGUAAUUAGGGAAGAACAAAUGUGUAAGUAACUAUGCACGUCUUGACGGUACCUAAUCAGAAAGCCACGGCUAACUACGUG
rnacentral:rRNA from 1 species